UGGGGAAUUUUGGACAAUGGGCGAAAGCCUGAUCCAGCCAUGCCGCGUGAGUGAAGAAGGCCUUCGGGUUGUAAAGCUCUUUUAGUCGGAAAGAAAGAGUUGCAAUGAAUAAUUGUGAUUUAUGACGGUACCGACAGAAAAAGCACCGGCUAACUACGUGCCAGCAGCCGCGGUAAUACGUAGGGUGCGAGCGUUAAUCGGAAUUACUGGGCGUAAAGGGUGCGCAGGCGGUCUUGCAAGUCAGAUGUGAAAGCCCCGGGCUUAACCUGGGAAUUGCGUUUGAAACUACAAGACUAGAGUGCAGCAGGGGGGAGUGGAAUUCCAUGUGUAGCAGUGAAAUGCGUAGGGAUGUGGAAGAACACCGAUGGCGAAGGCAGCUCCCUGGGUUGACACUGACGCUCAUGCACGAAAGCGUGGGGAGCAAACA
rnacentral:rRNA from 1 species